CCGUUGGUGAACCAGCGGAGGGAUCAUUACAGAGUUAUAAAAUCCCAAACCCCUGUGAAAAUACCCAACGUUGCUUCGGCGGGACCGCCCCGGCGCCCUCGGCGUCCCGGAACCAGGCGCCCGCCAGAGGACCCAGACUCCCGUUUAAACCAUAGGGGCAUAUUCUGAGUCACACAAGAAAAAUGAAUAAAAACUUUCAACAACGGAUCUCUUGGCUCUGGCAUCGGUGAAGAACGCAGC
rnacentral:misc_RNA from 1 species